rnacentral:lncRNA from 1 species
CAAGUGGCCAGAGUCACUCCCUUACAAAUGUGAGAGAAGUGGUUCGAGCCUCCGCAGACGCAUUGUAGGGGUUUGAUUUCAAUUUCCUUCCUUGGAGCCCCAGAUCUUGAGUGAAGGCAGUCUUUCUCUCAGAAUGGGAGUUGACGUCCCUCGAAUAUUUGAGAGGGUUAAAAAUCUGAGCAGUGCCAUAUCAGAAUUGAUG